GACGAACGCUGGCGGCGUGCCUAAUACAUGCAAGUAGAACGCACAGUUUAUACCGUAGCUUGCUACACCAUAGACUGUGAGUUGCGAACGGGUGAGUAACGCGUAGGUAACCUGCCUGGUAGCGGGGGAUAACUAUUGGAAACGAUAGCUAAUACCGCAUAAUAUUAAUUAUUGCAUGAUAAUUAAUUGAAAGGUGCAAUUGCACCACUACCAGAUGGACCUGCGUUGUAUUAGCUAGUAGGUGAGGUAACGGCUCACCUAGGCGACGAUACAUAGCCGACCUGAGAGGGUGAUCGGCCACACUGGGACUGAGACACGGCCCAGACUCCUACGGGAAGCAGCAGUAGGGAAUCUUCGGCAAUGGACGAAAGUCUGACCGAGCAACGCCGCGUGAGUGAAGAAGGUUGUCGGAUCGUAAAGCUCUGUUGUAAGAGAAGAACGGGUGUGAGAGUGGAAAGUUCACACUGUGACGGUAUCUUACCAGAAAGGGACGGCUAACUACGUG
rnacentral:rRNA from 1 species